ensembl:snoRNA
UUGCAAGGCUCCAGCGUGCUUGGGUCUGCAGUGACCCUGUGCAUUCCUACAGUGCCUGCGAGAACAGGUUUGAAAUGGUUUGAGGCCUUGCUCUGCUCCGUCUACAGAGCAAGGUAAUAGACAUUUCAGACAGUU